rnacentral:lncRNA from 1 species
AGGGUUUACAGCAAGGCUGGGGGGUUAGGGGAAAGAUAAAGUGGAUAACCAUAUGACAUGAGAGUAUGCUUUUUUUUUUUAAUUUUCUUUUGCCAACAAAUCACAUUAGCUUCUACUUUUCUUUUCUUCUUUUUUUUUGGGGGAGGGGGGGGGAAUGCUUAUCCAUAUACUAGAUUUCAGGGGUCACCAUCAGGCCAAUUCGCAUGUUAUAUUAGGCAAGGCUGGGAGAGUGAGAAAGCUUGUAAAAUGGAUGAGUGAUCCAAGUCCCCAUCCCUCCAUCCUCAUUGGCUACACCAUGAGACAAUGUGUAAUUUAAUGAAUUCGUUAAAGAUAUGCUCCUGUUGUGUUGG